rnacentral:rRNA from 1 species
CCUCGCCCUGUUUUUACAAAAACAUGUCCUCUUGAGUAUAAUUUGAGGUCUGACCUGCUCACUGACAAGGUUUUAAAGAGCCGCGGUAUUUUGACCGUGCAAAGGUAGCAUAAUCAUUAGUCUCUUAAUUAGAGGCUGGAAUGAAUGGUUUGACGAGAAAUCAACUGUCUCUUAAUAAUUUUUAAAAUUUAACUUUUAAGUCAAAAGGCUUAAAUUUUUCUUUAGGACGAGAAGACCCUAUAGAGCUUGACAUUUUAUUUUUAUAUAGUUUUUAGCUAGUUUUUCUAUAUUUAAUGAUAAUGUUUUGUUGGGGUGACAUGAAGAAUAAAUAAACUCUUCAUUAUAAAAUCAUUGAUUUAUGUUUAUCAUGAUCCAUAAUUUAUGAUCAUAAGAUUAAGUUACCUUAGGGAUAACAGCGUAAUUGUUUUUGAGAGCUCAUAUUGACAAAACAGAUUGCGACCUCGAUGUUGGAUUAAGAAAAAUUUUGGGUGCAGGAGCUCAAUAAUUAGGUCGUCGACUAUCC